UACGUAGGGAGCAAGCGUUGUCCGGAAUCAUUGGGCGUAAAGGGUGCGUAGGUGGCCUGACAAGUUAUCAGUGGCAAAUCGAGGCUCAACCUCGUGGAAACUGGUAAUACUGUUCGGCUUGAGUACAGGAGAGGUUAACGGAACUCUAUGUGGAGCGGUAAAAUGCACAGAUAUAUGGAAGAACAUCAAUAAAGGCGAAGGCAGUUAACUAUUCUGUUACUGACGCUGAGGCACGAAAGCGUGGGGAGCAAAACGG
rnacentral:rRNA from 1 species